AUACUUUUUGAUCCCAGGCUGGUAAAAAAUGUAAACUUUUAGCCCAAAAGAAUAGAAACAGAUGCCAGGCCAAUAACCCAUUAAAGAGCUAUGACGCUAUCGA